rnacentral:rRNA from 1 species
AUUGAACGCUGGCGGCAUGCCUUACACAUGCAAGUCGAACGGUAACAGGUCUUCGGAUGCAGACGAGUGGCGAACGGGUGAGAAAUACAUCGGAACGUGCCUAGUAGUGGGGGAUAACUACUCGAAAGAGUGGCUAAUACCGCAUGAGAUCUACGGAUGAAAGCAGGGGAUCGCAAGACCUUGUGCUACUAGAGCGGCCGAUGGCAGAUUAGGUAGUUGGUGGGAUAAAAGCUUACCAAGCCGACGAUCUGUAGCUGGUCUGAGAGGACGAUCGGCCACACUGGGACUGGGACACGGCCCAAACUCCUACGGGAGACAGCAGUGGGGAAUUUUGGACAAUGGGCGCAAGCCUGAUCCAGCAAUGCCGCGUGCAGGAUGAGGGCCUUCGGGUUGUAAACUGCUUUUGUACGGAACGAAAAGCCCCGGGUUAAUACCCUGGGGUCAUGACGGUACCGUAGGAAUAAGCACCGGCUAACUACGUGCCAGCAGCCGCCGUAA